AAACAGUACUAAACACCUACAUGUUUACAGGUAAACAGUACUAAACACCUACAUGUUUACAGGUAAACAGUACUAAACACCUACAUGUUUACAGGUAAACAGUACUAAACACCUACAUGUUUACAGGUAAAC